UACAGAGGUCUCAAGCGUUGUUCGGAAUCACUGGGCGUAAAGGGUGCGUAGGCUGCGGAGUAAGUCGGAUGUGAAAAUUUGGGGGCUCAACCCCCCAACUUUGCAUCUGAUACUGCUUCGCUAGAGACCUGGAGAGGAGUUUUGGAAUUCUCGGUGUAGCAGUGAAAAUGCGUAGAUUUUCGAGAAAGAAACGCUCGCAAGCGAAAAGCG
rnacentral:rRNA from 1 species